GACAGAGGGGGCAAGCGUUGCUCGGAAUUACUGGGCGUAAAGGGCGCGUAGGCGGCCGAGCAAGUUAGAUGUGAAAGUCCUGGGCUUAACCUGGGGACUGCAUUUGAUACUGCUUGGCUUGAAUUCGGGAGAGGAUAGCGGAAUUCCCAGUGUAGAGGUGAAAUUCGUAGAUAUUGGGAAGAACACCGGUGGCGAAGGCGGCUAUCUGGACCGACAUUGACGCUGAGGCGCGAAAGCGUGGGGAGCAAACAGG
rnacentral:rRNA from 1 species